AGUGAAGUGACAUGAGCCUUGAGGUGAAUAGAAGUGAGGAAAUGAGUAAAAUAAUGACAUGAUAGUAAGUACAGUAUGACAUUUUUGUUUGAGGUGACUUACAAAGAGAAAGAAAAGAUGAAACAUGUGUAAAAGAGGUAUUAGUGAACUGACAUGAGCCUUGAGGUGAGUAGAAGUGAGGAAAUGAGUAAAAAAUGACAUAAUAGUAAGUAAAUUGUGACGUUAUUUUCGUUUGAGGUGACUUACAGAGAAAGAAAAGAUGAAACAUAUGUAUAAGAGGUAUUACUGAACUGACAUGAGCCUGGAGGUGAAUAGAGGUGAGGACAUGUGUAAAUAAAUGGCGUAAAUAUUGACAUGACGUUAUUUUCGUUCGCGGUGAAAUGUGAGCGAAAGGAGAGACAGGACAUGCGUAAAAGAGAUAAUGGAGAACUGAGAAGAACCUGGAAUUGACUAAAUGUGAGGAAAUGAGUAAAAAAAAUGACAAAUAUUGACAAAACGCAAAUACAAGGGUGACAUUUUAAUUUGGGGCGACUUCCAAGCGAGAGGAUGAAUGGAGUGAGUGCGUGGAAGGUUUUAAUGAGUGAACAAAAGCCUGGAGGUGAAAAAAAUGAGGAAAUUAUUAAAAAAAUGACAAAUAUUGACAUGACAUUGUUUUCGUUUGGGGCGACUUCCAAGCGAGAGGAUGAAUGGAGUGAGUGCGUGGAAGGUUUUAAUGAAGUGACAAAAGCCUGGAGGUGAAAAAAAUGAGGAAAUGAUUAAAAAAAUGACAAAUAUUGACAUGACAUUGUUUUCAUUUGGGGCGACUUCCAAGCGAGAGGAUGGAUGGAGUGAGUGCGUGAUAGGUUUUAAUGAACGAACAAAAGCCUGGAGGUGAAAAAAAUGAGGAAAUUAUUAAAAAAAUGACAAAUAUUGACAUGACAUUGUUUUCGUUUGGGGCGACUUCCAAGCGAGAGGAUGGAUGGAGUGAGUGCGUGGAAGGUUUUAAUGAACGAACAAAAGCCUGGAGGUGAAAAAAAUGAGGAAAUGAUUAAAAAAAUGACGUAAAUAUUGACAAAACGUAUAUACAAGGGUGACAUGAUUUUCGUUCGGGGUGACAUCCAAGCGAGAGGAUGGAUGGAGUGAGUGCGUGGACGGUUUUAAUGAACGAACAAAAGCCUGCAGGUGAAAAAAAUGAGGAAAUUAGAAAAAAAAUUACAGAUAUUGACAUGACAUUGUUUUCGUUUGGGGCGACUUCCAAGCGAGAGGAUGAAUGGAGUGAGUGCGUGGAAGGUUUUAAUGAACGAACAAAAGCCUGGAGGUGAAAAAAAUGAGGAAAUGAGUAAAAAAAUGACGUAAAUAUUGACAAAACGUAUAUACAAGGGUGACAUGAUUUUCGUUCGGGGUGACAUCCAAGCGAGAGGAUGAAUGGAGUGAGUGCAUGGAAGGUUUUAAUGAACGAACAAAAGCCUGGAGGUGAAAAG